AAUGUAGUCUUGAAUCUGGUUGGGUCGCCGUGCAGCCCUCUGGGUAGUGUCUAGGCUACAUUUGCGCGUGUGCAGGCCCAGCUGCGCGUUCCUGUUUCCGCACUUUCAUCCUUGGUUGAUAGUUGAUGCUGGGUCCUUGAUUGUCCUCCUGUAGAGUGGAUUUGGGGGGAUGGAGACUCCGCGCCUCACGGGAACUUCUGGAUCGUUUGUCUGGCCCCACCUGCAGCCGGACCGGAAAAAAGCCCCCGCGGCGGCCGUGGUAGGGAGCGUGGUGCUUGUUUGUUUAUAAUGCGGAUGGUGAGCGUGCCAGAAAGCGCAGGCUGAGGGUUUAUGGUGGAGCCCGAGCUCUGGAGCCAGAAAGACCCAGGCAUGAGUGUCAUUCAAGGAUGUGACUGUGGAUUUAACCCAGGAGUGGAAACACUUGGGCCCUGCUCAGAGUAUCCUGUACAGAGAUGUGAUACUGGAGAACUACAGCCACCUCCUCUCAGUGGAGUAUUGCUUUAGAAAACCAGAUGUGACCUUCAAUUUGGAGGAAGGAGAAGAUCCAUGGUUAUUAGAGGAAGAAUUUCUAAAUAGGAGCUACUCAGAUGCAUCAGGAAUACAUCCACAGAUGCAACAAUUCUCACAGAACACCAGCUGAACACCAGCAGAAGACCUGGGACACUGAAAAGGAUUAUAAAGAUCCCUGCAUAACUGGGUAGGACGAAAGAAAGAAGGGAGAAGGAGAAGAGGAUGCAGGACGGGACAGGCACCCCAGAGUGGGGGAGUUGAAGCAGAGGAGAGAUUCCUGCAUCUGGGGAAGCCCCCCUCCAAUGGAGAAAUCGGUAGGGACAGAAGGGAAGCAUUUAAGGCCGUUGGAGGAGGGUGAAGUGGCCAGUCUGUCACAGACAGGACAGAGUGAGAACUACACAGAUGGCCUGGGCCACAGCCCUACUGUGCCACAGACUGGGGUGUGUGUUCACUGGUGUGCAAGGUGGCUGGGAGAUGGAGCGUAGGGAUUGGAGAGCAGGCCUGGGGCGAGGACUGCUGUUUGCUGCAGGGAGACGAACUGAGGGGACAGGAGGGAGAAAAUCUGCAACAGGAAACGCCUAUGGAGGAAGACCAGACUGCCGUGGAAGCAGGGCGCUACUGCUGAGUCACACGCAGGGGGUGGAGCCAUUAUUGUAUCCUCUCUCUCCCCAUAUGCCAGGAUCUGCUGAUGGACAAUAGAAAAAGUCCUCCUAGGGCUGCUCCUCACACACCUGCCACCAGGUGCAAAAAAAAAGGCCUUCACUAGGGCCAUAUUGCUUAUACCCAUGGCCGCCAGCUUCCCUGCACAUUUGGCACUGCUGGGUCUCUCACAAUCCAAGCAGCCAUACCACCUCCAUGCCCUGUCCUCACCAGGGCAGACACCAGUGCUCCAGGGCAGCCCUAGGAGCAGACCCUUCGUGGCCCACAUGCAGAGGUGGGAAUAAAACCAAAGCUGAACCCCAGGGGCAGGGUGACCAAGGAAGAGGAUUGAAAAUCUUCCUAUCAGCUGCACAAGCUGAAGAUUAAAUCCCCACAAUCAGCUAGGUAGACCUGCAUCUGGAAUAUUUGAGUAGACAAUGAGAACUCCCACAAAAGAAAUGGUCAAGCUCUGGCAGCUGUGGACUUUGGGAGCAAGCAGACAUGGGAGUUUGACCAGAUCAGAGUCUGAGUGGUCCCCAUAGGGCCCAUGCCAGGUCCAGAGACCAGCCCAGAGGCAAUGGAGGGCCCCUUGGGGAGGUGGAGGUGGGCUGUGGUGCACAGCGGGGGCAAGGACACUGACAGCUGAGACCCCAGGAAAACAUUAUUAUUACUAUUACUUUUAUUAUGUUUUGAUUUGUUCUGUUCUUUCUCUUUUUUUUUUUCUGGUUCUUAUUGUUUGUUUUCUUUUUAAUUUACUCUUUUGGGAUUUUCUUUUACUUUGCUUUUUGGUUGUUCUGUGUUCUUUUCCCAUUUUGUUUUUUUUUUCUUCUUUUUCUUCAAUAUAUUUUUUAUAUUUCUAUUUCUACUUUGCUUUGCUGUUGGUCUGUGUUUUUUCCUCUUUUUUUUUUUUUUUUUUUUUUUUGGUGGUACGUGGGCCUCUCACUGUUGUGUCCUCUCCUGUUGCGGAGCACAGGCUCCAGACGUGCAGGCUCAGCAGCCAUGGCUCACGGGCCCAGCCACUCCACGGCAUGUGGGAUCUUCCUGGACUGGGGCAUGAACCCGUGUCCCCUGCAUUGGCAGGCGGACUCUCAACCACUGCACCACCAGGGAAACCCCCUCUUUUUAAAAAAUCAUUUCUGUUGGUUAGUUUUGUUUCUUUGCUUUAUUCUUCAGCUGGCGCUCUGCUCUGGUUUUGUUUUUUGUCUUUCUGUCUUAGUUUUGUUUUUAAUUGUUUGAUUUCGUUUUUGGAUUCUUUUGUUUGUCUGGUUGUCCUCUUGCCUUUUGUUUUAUUUUGUUCUGUUUUUGUUUCUUUUGUGUUUGUGCAUGUUUCCUUGUUUCAGUUUCUGUUUGUUUGAUUUUUCUUUUACUAUUUGUCUGGGUUUUUUUUUUUUUUUUUUUGCGGUACGCGGGCCUCUCACUGUUGUGGCCUCUCCCGUUGCAGAGCACAAGCUCCGGACGCGCAGGCUCAGCAGCCAUGGCUCACGGGCCCAGCAGCUCCGCGGCAUGUGGGAUCUUCCCGGACCGGGGGCACGAACCCGUGUCCCCUGCAUCGGCAGGUGGACUCUCAACCACUGUGCCACCAGGGAAGCCCUUGUCUGGGGUUUUGUUUGUUGUUUUUUUUUUCUUAAUCCCCUUUAUUGCCAUAAUGAGUGACUUGAGGGGUCUUGGUUCUCCAACUGGAAGUCAGGCCUGAGCCUCUGGGAAGGGAGCGCUGAGUCCAGGAUGCUGGACCACCAGAGAAUUCCUGGCCCAAGGAAAUAUUAACCAGCAAGAGCUCCCGAGGAGACCUCUAUCUGAAUACAAGGCCUGGCUCCACCAAACUGCCUGCAGCUCCCAGCGCUGGACACCUCACAACAAACAACAAACAAAACAGGAACACAAACCCACCUAACAGCAGACAGGCUAUCUAAAGUCAUACUAAGGCCACAGGCAACCCAAAACACCACUGACAAGGUCCUGCCCAUCAGAGGGAAAAGACUCAGCUCCACCCAUCAGAACACAGGCACCAGUCCCUCUCAUCAGGAAGGCUACACAAGCUACUGGACCAACCUCAUUACCAGGGGCAGUGAACAGAAGCAAGAGGAACUACAACCCUGCAGCUUGGGGAAAGGAGACCACAAACACAGUAAAUAAGAAAAAGUGAGAAGACAGAGAAAUAUCUUGCAGACAAAGGAGCAAGAUAAAAACCCAUAAGACCAAAUAAAUGAAGAGGAAAGAGGCAAACUACCUGAGAAAGAAUUCAGAGUAAUGGUAGUAAAGGUGAUCCAAAAUCUCAGAAAUAGAAUGGAGGCACAGAUGGAGAAGAUACAAGAAAUGUUUAACAGGGAUCUAGAAGAACUAAAGAACAGACAAUCAGUGAUGAACAACACAAUAACUGAAAUAGAAAAUACACUAAAAGGAAUCAAUAGCAGAAUAACUGAGGCAGAAGAACGGAUAAGUGAGCUGGAAAAUAGAGUGGUGGAAAUAACUGCAGCAGAGCAAAAUAAAGAAAAAAGAAUGAAAAGAAAUGAGGACAUUCUCAGAGAGCUCUGGGACAACAUUAAGUGCACCAACAUUCGAAUUACAAGGGUCCCAGAAGAAUAAGAGGAAAAGAGAGGGUCUGAGAAAAUAUUUGAAGAGAUUGUAGUUGAAAACUUCUCUAACAUGGGAAAGGAAAUAGCAGUUAAGUCCAGGAAACACAGAGAAUCCCAUACAGGAUAAACUCAAGACAUUGAGACACCUAUUAACAUAUUAACAGCAAGACACAUAUUAAUCAAACUAACCAAAAUUAAACACAAAGAAAAAUAUUAAAAGCAACAAAGGAAAAGCAAUAAAUAAAAUACAAAGGAAUCCCCAUAAGGUUAACAGCUGAUCUUUCAGCUGAAGCUCUGUAGGCCAGAAGGCAGUGGCAGGAUAUAUUUAAAGUGAUGAAAGGGCAAAACCUACAACCAAUAUUACAUUACCCAGCAAGGAUCGCAUUCAGAUUUGACAGAGAAAUCAAAAGCUUUACAGACAAGCAAAAGUUAAUAGAAUUCAGCACCACAAAACCAGCUUUACAACAAAUGCUAAAGGAGCUUCUCUAGGCAGGAAACACAAGAGAAGGAAAAGACCUACAAAAACAAACCCAAAACAAUUACAAAAAUGGUAAUAGGAACAUGCGUAUCAAUAAUCACCUUAAAUGUAAAUGAAUUAAAUACUCCAACCAAAAGACACAGACUGGCUGAAUGGAUACAAAAACAAAACCCAUAUAUAUGCUGUCUACAAGAGACCCACUUGAGACCUAAAUAGACAUUUCUCCAAAGAAGACAUGCAGAUGGCCAAGAAACACAUGAAAAAUGCUCAACAUCACUAAUCAUUAGAGAAAUGCAAAUCACAACCACAAUGAAGUAUCACCUUACACUGGUCAGAAUGGCUAUCAUCAAAAAAUCUACCAGCAGUGAAUGCUGGAGAGCGUGUGUAAAAAAGGGAACCCUCCUGCACUGUUGGUGGGAAUGUAAAUUGAUAUAGCCAGUAUGGAGAGUAGUGUGGAGGUUACUUUAAAAACUAAAAAUAGAACUACCAUAUGACCCAGCAAUCCCACUACUGGGUAUAUACCCUGAGAAAACCAUAAUUCAAAAAGAUACAUGCACCCCAUUGUUCAUCGCAGCACUGUUUACAAUAGCCAGGACAUGGAAGCAACCAAAAUGACCAUCCACAGAUGAAUGGAUAAACAAGAUGUGGUACAUAUAUGCAAUGGAAUAUUACUCAGCCAUAAAAAGGAAUGAAAUUGAGUCAUCUGUAGUGAUGUGGGUGGAGCUAGAGUCUGUCAUACAGAGUGAAGUAAGUCAGAAAGAGUAAAACAAAUACUGUAUGUUAACACAUAUAUAUGGAAUCUAGAAAAACAGUACUGAUGAACCUAGAGCAGGGUAGGAACAGAGACACAGACGUAGAGAACAGAAUUGUGGACAUGAGGGGAAGGGGAGGGUGGGACGAAUUGAGAGAGUAGUAGUAACAUAUGUACACUACCAUGUGUAAAAUAGAUAGCUUGUGGGAAGCUGCGGUAUAGCACAGGGAGAUCAGCUUGGUACUCUGUGAUGACCUAGAGGGGUGGGAUGGGGAGGGUGGGAGGGAGGCUCAUGAGGGAGGAGUUAUAGGUAUACAUAUAGCUGAUUCACUUUGUUGUACAGCAGAAACUAAUUCAACAUUGUAAAGCAAUUAUAAUCCAAUAAAGAUAUUAAAAAAUAAAGGUUAAAAGCAUAAUGGAGAAGAAAAUGAAAAAGAUUAUAUAUAUGUAUAACUGAAUCACUUUGCUGUACGUCAGAAAUUAACAUUGUAAAUUAACUAUACUUAAAUAAAAUUAUUUUUUAAAGUAAAAAAAGUAGAAUAUGACACAAAGUAAAAUUAAGUAGCAUUUGCUUGUCUUGUGAACAUUUGGAACAAACAUGCUGUGUUUCUGGGAGGCACUUGUAGGAAACAACUAAGUCAUUGUCUGGGAAUAAUUAAAAGACACAUUAACGAGUUUAUUGAUAUGGAUAGGACAGAUCCAAUUGAGGUGAUGGAUUGUUUGCCAUUAUAUUGUUGUAUCCUCUUUAGCAGAAGAAGGAGAGAUUACAUAGAAAUGUAUCCAUCUUGUGAAAUUCUCCUUAUAACAAGGAAAAGUGUGGUUUACCCUGUAUCAGGUCCUUUGUGUGAUAAAGUUUAUUCCACAAGAAGGAAUGUAUCUAGUCUUACCAAGAGAAGGCAAGAAGGACAUUAUAUUAUUUAACAAAGGGUCAAUUCACCAAAAAGAUAUAACAAUUUUGUAAACAAAUAACUGAACAUCAGACCCCAAAACAUCAAUAUAUGAAGCAAACAUUGACCCUAAUCUCUGGUAGAAAACCCCAGAGAUUACUGACAUGUGCAUGUCUGCACGUGCACACAGACACACACACAUGCACACACAGCUAAUUCAGGGAAGUUGCUAAUAAACCAAGACAGUUGCAGGAUCCAAAUUAAGACACAAAAAUCAGUUGCUUUUCUGUACACUAGAACAAUGAAUGAUCCAAAAGGAAAUUAAGAAAACAAUUCCAUUUACAUAGCAUCAGAAAAUAAGUAGAUAAAACACUUAGGAAUAAAUUUAACCAAGAAGGGAAAGAUUUGUGCACUGAAAACUACAAAGCAUUGCUGAAAGGAAUUAAAGAAGACAAAAAUAAAUGGAAAGACAUCUUAUGUUAAUGGACUGGAAGACCCAAUAUUAUUAAGAUGACAGUACUACUCAAAAUGAAAUACAGGUUCAAUACAAACUCUAUCAAAAUCCCAGCAACAUUUUUUGCAGAAAUGGAAAGACUAAUCCUAAAGUUAGUUUGGAAUCUCAUAGGACUCCAAAUAGCCAAAACAAUCUUAAAAAAAAAAUUGGAGGACUCACACCUGAUUUCAAAACUUACUACAAAGAUAAUAGUAAUCUAAACACUGUGGUACUGACAUAAGGACACAUAGAGAACAGGAUUGAGAGCCUAGAAAUAAGUCCUCAUUUAUGUGGCCAAUCUGUUUUUGACAAGGGAGCAAAAAUCAUUCAGUGGCGGGAAGGCAAGUCAACAAAUGGUACUGGGAAACUGUAUAUCUACAUGCAAAAGAAUGAAGCUGGACCCUUAUGCCACACACAAAAAUAAACUCAAAAUAGAUUGAAGACCUACAUGUAAGAUCUAAAACCAUAAAACUCUUGGAAGACAACACAGGGAAAAAUCUUCAUGACAUUGGGUUUGGCAACUGGUUAUGACAGCAAAAACACAGAUGGUAAAAGGAAAAAUAUGAGGUAAAUUGGACUUAAUCAAAAUUUAAAACUUUUGUGCAUAAUAGGACACUAUCGACAGAGUGAAAAGGCAACUCACAGAAUGGAGAAAAUAUUUGCAAAUCACGUAUCUAAUAAGGGAUUAAUAUCCAGAUUAUAUACAGAACUUCUAAAGCUCAACAACAACAACGUAACCUGAUUAUAAUAUGAAAAAAGGACUUGAAUAGUUAUUUUCCAAAGAAGAUGAACAAAUAGAAAAUAAGCACAUAAGCUGGCAAGCACCAUUGUGGAAUCCUCCCUCUAGCUUAUUAGCCCUAGAACCCAGCCCUACCCUGGCCCAACAGCCUGUAGAUGCCAUUGCUGGGAAACCUCAAUGGUUUGAGGCAACUUGACUGGGCAAGGACGUGGACUCACAUAUUAGCAGACAGGCUGCCUUAAGAACCACUGAAGCCAUGGCCCCCUCUGGACAUGACCCUGCCGACCAGAUGGCCCAGAACCCAACGCCACCGACCAGUGGGCAGGUACCAGCCCUAAAAUCCCCUGGGCCCCAGCUCUGCCUUCCGGGGCCUGCUUUAGCCUCUGGACCAGCCUCGCCUACCACAGGGCAGAUACCAGAUGCAAGAAAACCAGAAUCCUGCAGCCUGUGAACCCAGCCUGCCCAUCAGCAGGCCAGACCCUGCCCUGACCCAGCUGGGCCCUGUCCUGCCAACUAGCAAGCCAACACAAGCUUUGGGACACCCAGAACCCUUACCCAACUGUGUCAGGAACCAUUGCCCCCUCCACCACCAGUGAUCUGGCAUCAGCUCUGGGACUCUUGGGCCCUGCAACCAGACUCCAGGACCUGGCUUUGCCCACCAGUAGGCUGGCACUAACCCCGGGACCUGGCUUCACCAAGCAGUGGGUGGGCAACAGCCCCAGAGCCUUCUGGACCCUGAUGCCACCCACCAGUGAGCCACACUAGCCCUGAGGUCCCCUGGGGUUCUGCAGUCAGGCCACCUCAUGACCCAGUCCUGCAACCUGCAGCUGGCAGGCUUUUCACAAGGCAGGGCCUGGCAACCAACCAGACCGGGUGCAAACCAAGCCUAGCAGACCACCCAGAUAGCCCACCAUGAUAGAAGGACCCACGCAGCCCUCAUAAGGGGAACCCCUAGAGGAUAUAGCUUGGGUGACAAUAGAGGAGUCUGAUGUUGGGACCCAUAAGACAUCUCCUACAAAAGGCCACUUCUCCAACGUCAGAAAACAUAAGCAAUCUACCCGAUAGAUUAAAAUAUAAACAGUAACUUAGGCAAAAUGAAUCAACAUAGGAAUAUAUUCUAGACGAAGGAACAAGAUAAAACCCUAGAAGAACUAAGUGAAGUGAAGAUAGGCAAUCUACCCAAGAAAGAAUUCAGGGUAGUGAUUGUAAAGAUGAUCAAAUAACUUGAGAGAAAAUGAAGUUAGAAAAUUUUAACAAAAAAUUAGAAAAUAUAAAGAACAACGAAACAGAGAUGAAGAAUAAAAUAACUGAAAAGCAAAAUACAGUAGAAGGAAUCAACAGUACACUAAAUGAUACAGAGGAGUGGAUCAGUGAUCUGAUAGAUAAAGAAGUGGAAAUCACUGAUGCUGAACAGAGGGGAAAAAAAUGAAAAGAAAUGAGGACGGUUUAAGAGACCUCUGGGAAAUAUUAAAGGCACUAAUAUUUCCAUUAUAAGGGUCCCAGAAAGAUAAGCAAGAGAGAAAGGGGCUGAGAACAUAUUUGAAGACAAAAUAGCUGAAAACUUCCCUAACCUGUGGAAAAAAACAGACAUCCAAGGUCAGGAAGCAGCCCCAUACAGUAUUAACCCAGAGAGGAACACACCAUGACACAUUGUAAUUAAAAUGGCAAAAGUUAAAGAUAGAGAAUGUUAAAAGCAACAAGGGAAAAGCAACAGAUAAUAUAAAAGGGAACUCCCAUAAGGCUAUCAGCUGACUUCUCAGCAGAAACUCUGCAGGCCAGAAGGGAGUGGCAUGAUAUUUUUAAAGUGAUGAAAGGGAAAAACCUACAAGCAAGAAUACUCUACCCAGCAAGGUUCUCAUUCAGAUUUUAUGGAGAGAUCAAAAGCUUUAUAGAUAAGCAAAAGCUAAAAGAGUUCAACACCAGCAAACCGGCUUUACAAGAAAUGUGAAAGGAAAUUCUGUUAGCAAAAAAGAAAAAGCCACAAUCAGAAACAUGAAAAUUAUGAGAGGAAAAAGCUCAUCGUUAAAGGCAAACAUACAGUAAAGGUAGGAUAUCAUCCACACACAAAGCUAAUAGGAAGGUUAAAAGACAAAAGUAGUAAAAUCAUCUAUAUCCAUAAAUAGCAGUUAAGGAACACACACACCAAUUAGAUAUGAAAUAUGAUAUCAAAAACUAAUCAUGAGGGGAGGAGAGUAAAAUGCAGGAUUGUAAAAUUGCAUCUGAAGUUAAGAAAUCAGCAACUAAAAACAAUCAUAUGUAUAUACUUGCUAUAUAAAAACCUCUUGAUAACCACAAACCAAAAAUCUAUAAUAGAUACACACACAGCAAAAGAAAGAGCAGGCUUCCCUGGUGGCGCAGUGGUUGAGAGUCCGCCUGCCGAUGCAGGGGACGCGGGUUCGUGCCCCGGUCCGGGAAGAUCCCACAUGCCGCAGAGCGGCUGGGCCCAUGAGCCAUGGCCACUGAGCCUGCACGUCCGGAGCCUGUGCUCCACAACGGGAGAGGCCACAACAGUGAGAGGCCCGCAUACCGCAAAAAAUAAAUAAAUCGAAAAAGCAAUCCAAACAUAACAUUAAAGAGAGUCACCAAAUCACAAGAGGAGAGAACAAAAGAAGAAAGGAAUGAAAAAAAAAACUACAAAAACAAUUCACAAAAUGGCAAUAAGAAUAUACAUAUCAAUAAUUACUUUAAAUGUAAAUGGACUAAGUUCUCCAAUCAAACUCCCUAACACCAUACACGAAAAUAAGUGCAAAAUGGAUUAAAGACCUAAAUGUAAGGCCAGAAACUAUCAAACUCUUAGAGGAAAACAUAGGCAGAACACUCUAUGACAUAAAUCACAGCAAGAUCCUUUUUGACCCACCUUCUAGAGGAAUGGAAAUAAAACAAAAAUAAACAAAUGGGACCUAAUGAAACUUCAAAGCUUUUGCACAGCAAAGGAAACCAUAAACAAGACCAAAAGACAACCCUCAGAAUGGGAGAAAAUAUUUGCAAAUGAAGCAACUGACAAAGGAUUAAUCUCCAAAAUAUACAAGCAGCUCAUGCAGCUCAAUAACAAAAAAACAAACAACCCAAUCCAAAACUGGGCAGAAGACCUAAAUAGACAUUUCUCCAAAGAAGAUAUACAGACUGCCAACAAACACAUGAAAGAAUGCUCAACAUCACUAAUCAUUAGAGAAAUGCAAAUCAAAACUACAAUGAGAUAUCAUCUCACACCAGUCAGAAUGGCCAUCAUGAAAAAAUCUAGAAACAAUAAAUGCUGGAGAGGGUGUGGAGAAAAGGGAACUCUCUUGCACUGUUGGUGGGAAUGUAAAUUGAUAUAGCCACUGUGGAGAACAGUAUGGAGGUUCCUUAAAAAACUACAAAUAGAACUACCAUAUGACCCAGCAAUCCCACUACUGGGCAUAUACCCUGAGAAAACCAUAAUUCAAAAAGAGUCAUGUACCAAAUGUUAAUUGCAGCUCUAUUUACAAUAGCCCGGAGAUGGAAACAACCUAAGUGUCCACCAUCAGAUGAAUGGAUAAAGAGGAUGUGGCACAUAUAUACAAUGGAAUAUUACUCAGCCAUAGAAAGAAAUGAAAUUGAGUUAUUUGUAGUGAGGUGGAUGGACCUAGAGUCUGUCAUACAGAGUGAAGUAAGUCAGAAAGAGAAAGACAAAUACCGUAUGCUAACACAUAUAUAUGGAAUUUAAGACAAAACAAAUGUCAUGAAGAACCUAGGGGUAAAACAGGAAUAAAGACACAGACCUACUAGAGAAUGGACUUGAGGAUAUGGGGAGGGGGAAGGGUAAGCUGUGACAAAGUGAGAGAGAGGCAUGGACAUAUAUACACUACCAAACGUAAGGUAGAUAGCUAGUGGGAAGCAGCCGCAUAGCACAGGGAGAUCAGCUCGGUGCUUUGUGACUGCCUGGAGGGGUGGGAUAGGGAGGGUGGGAGGGAGGGAGACGCAAGCGGGAAGAGAUAUGGGAACAUACGUAUAUAUAUAACUGAUUUAUUUUGUUGUAAAGCAGAAACUAACACACCAUUGUAAAGCAAUUAUACUCCAAUAAAAAUGUUUAAAAAAAUAAAUAAAA